rnacentral:rRNA from 1 species
AACGAACGCUGGCGGCGUGGAUAAGACAUGCAAGUCGAGCGCUGAUUACAGGGUAGCAAUAUUCUGUAGUCGGAGCGGCGCAAGGGUGCGUAACACGUGGGUAAUCUGCCAUGAAGUUUGGGAUAACUCGCUGAAAGGCGAGCUAAUACCGGAUGUGAAUGUUAGGGGGCAUCUCCCGACAUUUAAAGCUGGGGACCGUAAGGCCUGGCGCUUCAUGAUGAGCCCGCGGCCUAUCAGCUAGUUGGUGAGGUAACGGCUCACCAAGGCUAAGACGGGUAGCUGGUCUGAGAGGACGACCAGCCACACUGGAACUGAGACACGGUCCAGACACCUACGGGUGGCAGCAGUCGAGAAUUUUUCACAAUGGGGGAAACCCUGAUGGAGCGACGCCGCGUGGGGGAUGAAUGGCUUCGGCCCGUAAACCCCUGUCAUUUGCGAGCAAAUGUACCAACCUAACACGUUGGUGCUUGAUAGUAGCGAAAGAGGAAGGGACGGCUAACUCUGUG